GACGAACGCUGGCGGCGUGCUUAACACAUGCAAGUCGAACGCUGAAGCUCAGCUUUUGUUGGGUGGAUGAGUGGCGAACGGGUGAGUAACACGUGAGUAACCUGCCUCCUUCUUUGGGAUAACGCCCGGAAACGGGUGCUAAUACUGGAUAUUCACUGGUCUUCGCAUGGGGGUUGGUGGAAAGGGUUUUUCUGGUGGGGGAUGGGCUCGCGGCCUAUCAGCUUGUUGGUGGGGUGAUGGCCUACCAAGGCUUUGACGGGUAGCCGGCCUGAGAGGGUGAACGGGAACAUUGGGACUGAGCAACGGCCCAGACUCGUACGGGGGGCAGCAGUGGGGAAUAUUGCACAAUGGGCGCAAGACUGAUGCAGCGACGCCGCGUGAGGGAUGGAGGCCUUCGGGUUGUGAACCUCUGUCGCUCAUGGUCAAGCCGCAACAAUGGUUGUGGUGAGGGUAGUGGGUAAAGAAGCGCCGGCUAACUACGUG
rnacentral:rRNA from 1 species